CACGUGGGAACCUACCUAGGGGUACGGAAUAACUCAGGGAAACUUGUGCUAAUACCGUAUACGACCUCAGGGUGAAAGAUUUAUCGCCCCUAGAUGGGCCCGCGUUGGAUUAGCUAGUUGGUGGGGUAAAGGCCUACCAAGGCGACGAUCCAUAGCUGGUCUGAGAGGAUGAUCAGCCACACUGGGACUGAGACACGGCCCAGACUCCUACGGGAGGCAGCAGUGGGGAAUCUUGCGCAAUGGGCGAAAGCCUGACGCAGCGACGCCGCGUGGGGGAUGAAGCUUCUCGGAGUGUAAACC
rnacentral:rRNA from 1 species